AAACAGACACACUACAUUGUAACACCAAACCAGCAGAGGGAGCCCUCACCCGAGUAUUGACUGUUAGCACUCCCUCUGCUUUCUCUGCAACCACUUCCUGUUUAGUGGCCAUAUUAACCUGGCCACCACAUGACUACUUUGCGAAGUAUUGCCAGUUUAUCCUGCCUUACCAAGCGUUUGUAUCUCUGCCUUCUUACCACGUGUAUGACCUGUUUAUCUGUUUGUUUUGACUUCUCUUUUGGAUUACCCCUUUUGCCUGUUUGCCUGGUUGGACUGCCUUACUGUGUUUUUGACCUCAUUGCCUGUUUUUACUGACCC